rnacentral:rRNA from 1 species
UACGGAGGAUGCAAGCGUUAUCCGGAAUUAUUGGGCUUAAAGCGUCCGCAGGUGGCAAUGUAAGUCUGCUGUCAAAGAGUGAGGCUCAACCUCAUAAGAGCAGUGGAAACUACAAGGCUAGAGUACGUUCGGGGCAGAGGGAAUUCCUGGUGUAGCGGUGAAAUGCGUAGAGAUCAGGAAGAACACCAGUGGCGAAGGCGCUCUGCUAGGCCGUAACUGACACUGAGGGACGAAAGCUAGGGGAGCGAAUGGG